rnacentral:snRNA from 1 species
GGAUGUGAGGGCGAUCUGGCUGCGACAUCUGUCACCCCAUUGAUCGCCAGGGUUGAUUCGGCUGAUCUGGCUGGCUAGGCGGGUGUCCCCCUCCUCCCUCACCGAUCCAUGUGCGUCCCUCCCGAAGCUGCGCGCUCGGUCGAAGAGGACGACCUUCCCCCCCGAGGAGAGGACCGGUCUUCGGUCAAGGGUAUACGAGUAGCUGCGCUCCCCUGCUAGAACCUCCAAACAAGCUCUCAAAAGCAGCCAUUGCAAUAAGCUCCUUCCCUUGGGAAUUAUUUCAAAGAGAAAGUAAAUUUGAAAU